rnacentral:rRNA from 1 species
GCAAGUCUGGUGCCGGCAGCCGCGGUAAUUCCAGCUCCAAUAGCGUAUAUUAAAGUUGUCGCAGUUAAAAAGCUCGUAGUUGAACCUCGGGAUCAAUGGAUCGGUCAUGCCAUCGGUAUGUACUGGUCUCAUUGGUUCUCACCUUCUAAGGAACCAUGAUGUCAUUCAGUUGAUGUUGUGGGGAAUUAGGACUGUUACCUUGAAAAAAUUAGAGUGUUUAAAGCAGGCUAACGCUUGAAUACAUUAGCAUGGAAUAAUGAAAUAGGACAUCGCAUUCUAUUUUGUUGGUUUCUAGGAUCGAUGUAAUGAUUAAUAGGGAUAGUUGGGGGCAUUAGUAUUCAAUUGUCAGAGGUGAAAUUCUUGGAUUUAUUGAAGACUAACUACUGCGAAAGCAUUUGCCAGGGAUGUUUUCAUUAAUCAAGAACGAAAGUUAGGGGAUCGAAGACGAUCAGAUACCGUCGUAGCCUUAACCAUAAACUAUGCCGACUAGGGAUCGGAUGAUGUUGAUUUUUUAAUGACUCAUUCGGCGCCUUACGGGAAAC